AGAUAGAGCCAUUUCCAUCUCCCAAUUUUCGAACGUUUUCUCCAGAGAUCUGGUGAAGUAAAGCUUCACAACACAAACACAAAGAGGAAGAGAAUGGAACAGAAUAGAAAAAAAUUCGCUUCAAGAUUUUCGAGAUGGUUGAGAAACUGAGGGUCUCUAGUAUGAAUACUGGUGCGGGCAGUGAAGAGCGAGCCAGCAAGAAAGCUCGCAAAACAAAGAAACAAGGUGAGUUUACCAGUCAUUGGCUUUCCCCUCAUUUUUCUGCCGUCCUGCUUCCUGUUUGGAACCUAAAAACAUUCAGCCACAACCAAAAUCACAAACUACACAUACACAUUGCUUGCAUAUAUGUUGCUGCAAUGGAUACUCAGAAUUUAUUUAUAUACAUAGAUAGAUAGAGCAUAAUAUUGGGGGAUGA